CGUAACUUCCCACCCAAAUUCUUCUCCACCCACCUUAACCCUAGCAGCGCCGCCACGAAUCAAAGCAUCGAACAGCAAUCCGCCUCACUUCCUCUCCGGCCCCCUCGCCUUGGUCCUCUCUCCCAAUCUUCACUGCUCGGAUCGUGGCUCUCUACUAACUCUGUUUCUGUCUCCCUCAGAUCGAGCCAUUGGCGACUCAGGGCGAAACUCCGCACAGGGUGUGUCGUCCGUGCCGCAACUCCAGGCGGCCUAAGACUCCCGACGUUCAGGUUGACGAGCCAUGGUAUCUGACAUCCGGCUGCAUCUCUACAUUAUGCGCUCUACAAUACGGCCGCCCAGGACAAGUAGCAACUCACGGCUGAGCAACCUGUGAUGUGUCCUUGUUAUAUUAUUUUGAUAUGCUCAUAUUGGUGCACCUCGACUCUGGUUUUCGAAAAGGACAACUCAUAAAUUACUGAAUGUCUUUGAGCUUGUUGGUAAGCUAUAAUGCUCCCAUAUGUGUUCCUAUAAUUGUGUUAAUGUUCACUGAGCUGCUCCUGAGACAUAUGGGACUUCAGCUUGUGCCCAUUGAUAAUUUAGCUCUGUGGUAUUGUGACUGACCAUAGUGUAGAUCUAGUUAUUUAAAUGAUUCUAGUGUGCUGUUAAAUCAAUCCUUCCAUAUCUUUAUAAUAGUUACUUCUUUUUCUGUCUUUCCUUUGUCUUUUGAUCUGUGUAAUACCGACUUGAUAUGUAGGUGUCAUGGGCUGUUUAAAUGCUGAGGAUAUCACAAAUUAUAUUGCAGGACUUGUCUUUGGGUAUGCUACUGAGGUGUUUGAAGAAAUUCCAAGCAAUAUGUGGAUGUGAAUUUAAAGGCCCAAAAGAUCAGCAAGGACCGUCACAUUCAAAUGCUACAUUAGAAGGCAGAGCACAAGAAGGAAUACAAGGAAUAUGUAGGAUUAGUUAGAAUAUAAUAUUAUGAUGCAAGCUUGUAAGAUGUGUACUCUUAUGAUAAUUUUCAUGUAUGGAUGGUGAUUAUAAUUAUAACAUAUAAAUGUUUCUUUAUGCAAUGCUUUCAUGUUGUUGUAUGUACGUAUUAAUUAUAUAUUUUAUUGAUGAGGAAAACAAAUACUGCGAUAAUUGAAGCUACAAAGCCACCCAAUCCAGAAGAAG